GUCUGGAUAAUUCAAACAAAAUUAGGUCAUUUUGGUAUUGAAAGCUUUUAAUUUGUAUGGCAGUUCUCAUGUAACGGUUAUUAUACAAAUUAUUUCUCAUGUCUUGGCCUACACCAACUCCUGCAUAAAUCCCAUUUUAUAUGCCUUUUUAUCGGACAACUUUCGCAAGGCAUUUAGAAAGAUUGUCUGGUGCGGUAGUCCUCCACCCAUUAUAACAAAUCAACAAGUUACUAAAACAACGCGCACGGCAACCGGAAAUGGCACUUCAAACAUUGAUAUGCUGUAGAUAAACACUCAACAACUACAAUAUUCCAGCACCAAUAGCAACAACCCUAACUACAACAUCAACAACAGCUGCAGCAUUGACAUUUAUAUAGGACGAUGACGGUGUAGACAAGGACUAUAAAAACAAGGACUACAACGAGGACGUUUUUUUUUUUUAAACAGAUAGCAAUUGUACAUUAGACAAGCAGGUCAUAGAUGGCAACAACAAAAACGUAACGGAAAUAAGUAAUUCAAAGGAAAAAAGAGACUCAAGUGUUAGCAACGCCACAGUUACCAAUACUAAAAUCAUCUCUAUCCAGACAAUGAUCACCAUCACGACGACUUUUAAUUGUAGCCUCAUGUAGGAGGAAAAAAGGAAACCAAUAAAAAAGCCAACGCCGCUAACCAAAUCCAACAAUUUCCUCAAGGAUGUGGAUUGCUUGUGUUGUGUGUGCGUGUGUGCUGUGGGUGUUAAAAGACCACAGACUUUAAAUUAAAAUUACAAUUUUCAAAGGUUUCCUAAAAAGCCGACCACAAAACGAAAAUUAAGCCAACAAUUAAAUUGCAAAAUAAAAGAACAAAAACGAAUGAAGAAAUAUAUUCCUAAAAAAAUAAUAUAAAAUAAAAAUAUUUGUAAAAUAGUAAAAAUAAAUAAAAUUAAGAAUUGUUACUGAAUUUAAAAAAAUAUCUAUCUAUAUAAGAAAAAACAUUAUUAUUAAUUUAACACGUUUUUUCCAAGAAUUUGGCCUAAUUUUUAAACAAUUUACAAAUUGUAGUUAUAAUAAUAAAUAUAUAUUUACAGAGUAAAACUUAAUUAUUAAAUUUAUAAAAAAAAACAACAACAAAAAACCAACAAAUUUAAUUAAGUAUAAAAAAAUAAUAAUUAUAUACGAACAGCCAUUUAAACCACAAUAAACAAUUUUAAAUUGUAUUGUGAUAAAAUGGUGUUUGGUGGCAAAUUGUGUUAAUAAUGAGGAAAUUAGAAAUCUUUAUAAUAAAUGAAAAAAAUAAAUAAAUUUAAAAUUUUAGAAAUAUAUAAAUUUGAAAAAUAAAUAGAUUUUUAAUAAAACUAG